rnacentral:tRNA from 1 species
GCCUCGGUAGCUCAGCAGGUAGAGCGCCUGGCUGUUAACCAGUAGGUCGGAAGUUCGAGUCUUCCCCGGGGCGCCA